ensembl:lncRNA
GCUAACAGCCUCGAGGCCCUGGGUUCAGCCGCUACUACACCAGGCCGAGUUCUGCCGUUAGCAUAAAGAAGUAGAUAAAGUGGACCAAAUAUACCAUAUGUCAAGUUCAGAGCUGACGAGGAGGAAAUCACCUUUGGAAUAACGUCAAGUUUGAGAGGCUUACACUUGUGUUCCAUACUAUGCUGAAUGGUGUGGAAAACUCCGUGGUCACGCAAAGGAGUGGCUGGCACCUCUGUGUCCACAGACUGGCCAGUGGAGCUGGGGACCGAACCCAGGGCCUUGCGCUUCCUAGGCAAGCGCUCUACCACUGAGCUAAAUCCCCAACCCCGCAAAUAAAUCUUUUAUAAAAAGGAACUUUUGUUUCAAACACAAGAGACUAGGUUGGGCUGUAAAGAAAGAUGUUAAGGGUGUUCUAAUCUUAAAAGAAAGGACUGACUGGGCACGGUGGUACAUGUCUUUAAUCCUAGCACUCAGGAGGCAGAGGCAGGCAGAUCUCUGAGUUCAAGGCCAGUCUGGUCUACAGAGCAAGUUUUAGGACAGCCAGGUGUGUGUGUGUGUGUGUGAGAGAGAGAGAGACAGAAAGACAGAGAGAGAGAAAGAGAGACAGAGACAGAGAGAGACAUAGAGAGAAAGAGACAGGGAGAGACAGAGACAGACAGAGAGACAGACACAGAGACACAGAGACACAGAGACAGUCAUGGGCCAAGGGUGUUAUAAGCACAAUGCUUAGGUCAGGGGGAACAGCUCAGGGAGAGUGUAUGACAGCAGAAGCCUAGAUGUGCUUUCCAGGUUGGAAUGAUUUUCCAGAAGUCGGAUAGCAGGUAUGCCUGGCUCUGGCAGCACUGCAUUUCCAGAUAUAAAGUUUCGAGUGGUCACAUGCAGGGAUUAACAAGCACCCUUUAAGCAGCUUUGUGGUAAGUAAAGGUCAGGUUGUGCUGCCAGAUGAGGUCUUGCCAGGUGACCUUCUGAUGCCAACAGGGUUAAUCUCGCCUUUGUGACUUUGGGGGCUUUACAACUGCAGAUGAAGGACUUUGUGUCUGCUUCACUUCAUCUGACAGCCAGACACCAACUGCGGGUGAGUUCUAGAUGCAAUGCCAGGCACACCAGGCAAACGCUCUGUCCCUGUUCAUCGUCCCCCAAACACUCUUCUCCUUCGAAUCGCACAUGUGCUAAGUGAGCUCUCCCUCACUGAGCUAGAUCCUCGGUCAUGCCCCUUGAGUCUGUCGGCUGCGGCACAGCAGCCCUUCAUACACCUUAUCUACGUGAGCCUCCCAACCACUCGGGGCUUACUAUCUCCAUUCAUUCAAGAGAGGCUAACUGCUGGGAGACAGCGUGCUAAGGCUGAGCAAACUCGAGGACUUGAGUUUGAAUCCUCAGCACCAUGUGAGAGCCAGGCCGAUGAUGUGCAUGUUCCCCGGUGCCAAUGCCAAGGGGGUGGAGACAGGGUGAG